UGUUGCUCUGGGGAGAAAAGGAGAGCAAUGGUUACAUCUUUCUGUGCCCUAACUCCCCACCAAGCACAGACUUCUGCAAACCCACCUGACUGCAGUGAUUCCUUCUUCCCUGCCUCCUCCUGGAGACCAGCAGCUUCAUCUUUCCCCUGCUGUGGAAGAAGGAAAGGGCGAUACUGCAGCAACAAGGUUCUCCAUCACCUCAGUCUCCAAAGCCAGUAAGAGGAGAACAAUUUGAGUGCUGAUUAGAGCCUUCCAAAAUCAUGUCUUCUCAACAUGAUAGCCCCUCAGGAAUUUGAAGACAAUGGGCAUAUCCCCUGCCUUCUUCCUCAUGUCUUCUCUGCUUUAAUAUCGCCAAUCUGUUUUCAGUCAACGCUCAUUUGACACGGUUUUCUCUGGUUGCUUUACUGAGCAUGUAAUGCUCUUAAAGCAGUGCUCCAAAGAGAAUAAAAUUCUCCAGGAGUGUUCUGAUCAGAAGAUAAAGCACAAUAUCUUGUUCCCAGCAUUGAUUUGGCAAGUGGGUUGUCACAUUACACAACUUAACUUUAUUAGUCAACUAAUAAACUGCUAAAUUGUUUCUUUCAGACUAGA